CCUUUCUCUCCCUCUCUCUGGCUAGUUAAGGAAUAAUAGGUCUAGAAAGUAUUUAUGGUUUCUAAAUAAGGAAUAAGAUCUAGAGAGAAUUUAUGGUUUCAUGUAACAGAUUAUAAAUCAUCUUCUGUGGUCUCUAUUUCUUCCUCUAUAACCUUGGACCAGUGCAGAACGAGGUCAACGCCAGCCCUACAAAGUUGAUCAGUUUUUUUUCCUCCCAUCUCCAAUGCUCCUGGAAUAAUCACACAAGCAAGGAGCUCUGUGACUCUGCUCAUGGUAUCUGGUAAAAAGGAGUAUGUAAACUCUGAUCUUGGGAGUUUUGAAAGACCUGUAAAAUAAAGCUGAAAGGCAUUGAAGACCCAGGGCUUGUGUGAUCUGAACCUAC